CUCCGGGUUCUAGAGGGUUCUGGAGGGUUCUGGAGGGUUCUAGAGGGUUCUGGAGGGUUCUGGAGGGUUCUGGAAGGUUGUAGAGGGUUCUACAGGGUGCUAGAGGGUUCUAGAGGGUUAUAGAGUUGCCUUGUAGACUAUAAGUGCCUGCUGAUGUCCGCUAGCUUGCUGCGCCCGCGCUAGCUGCUGACGCCUUGUUUACAUCGGUGACCGUGACAACACAUAAGCUACCUGCUAGCUCGAUUAGCUGAAGAUAGCCAGUGGAGAUCCUUGUUGUUGUAGGGAGAUGAGAGGGUGAGGGCUGGGGUUACAGCUCCCCACCCUCCAUUACACCUCGUCUGCUUUAAGUGCUUGAAUGUUAAAGACAUCGGCUUUUUAUUCUUUACGUUGUUCUGGAGUGACGGAAGUGUUUGAUGUGGUUAGCAGCUGUGUUUGUGUUCUAGGGACUAAAGACUGAAGAGUCGAAUAAGCCUGCAAACAAAAUGAUGCUUUUUCCAUUUCAAAAUUCCAGUGUGAGAGUCGCAACAGGAAAUAGCAACUGUUCACCGCACACCUAAAUGCAUACUAUGUAAAACGCGUGGCCAUUCUCUAUCUCUUAGUGGACCAUACCAUGACACAGUGUCCUAUUCUCUGACUAUUAGUGGACUGUACCAUUGCAAGGUUCAUAUUCUCUGACUCUUACUGGACCGUACCAUUACACAGGUCCUAUUGUCUGACUCUUACUGGACCGUACCAUUACACGGGUCCUAUUCUCUGACUCUUUGUGGGCCGUACCAUUACACGGGUGUUAUUCUCUGACUCUUAGCGGGCCGUACCAUUACACGGGUCCUAUUCCCUGACGCUUAGUGGACUGUACCAUUACACGGGUCCUAUUCCCUGACGCUUAGUGGACCGUACCAUUACACGGGUCCUAUUCCCUGACGCUUAGUGGACCGUACCAUUACACGGGUCCUAUUCCCUGACGCUUAGUGGACCGUACCAUUACACGGGUCCCCGCGGCAUCCGGAACUUCUGUUAUGAUCUGAAACUCCGUCAGGCGAAGGAGACGUGUUUUCGCGAGGGGGCGGGCCGACGGGCUGCCCCCCUUGUGUGGAGGACUGGAGGGUUACUGGCUCUGCUCCUGGAUUAAUCACGGUGUCUCCCGGCUCGUCGUCGUGUGAUUGGAGGAAAUGAAGCACUGCCUCACCCACCGCAGGAGGAGACGUAGCGCUAAGACGAGCAGAUCCCACGAACCCCCCCCGCGCUGAGUCCACCCUUCAGCUAAUCAGUGAGCAUCUGCCACGGCGGGGGGGCGGGGCCCCGCCUGAUGGUCACUGAUCACGCGGUGUGUUCCUUGUCGCCGCACAAAAAGCGCUUUCCCUGAUCUUAUCCUGCUCGGAUAUGAUUUAAUUCGCCUGCAUUAAUGAACACGCAUAUAACCCCCCCCCCCACACACACACACACACACACACACUACUGUACCCGAGUGGCGUCGUGUGUGUGGCCGUUGUGUAACGCUCAUUUGGCUGUGUGAUAUUGUUUAUGAUGUGAGGCUGAGAGCUCUCUGUGUCAGGGAGUCUGAUUUCCCAGAGGCUGCUUGAUGUAAUGACUCACACGGCGCACUGUAGCUACUGCCCUGACACACGCACGCACACACACCGCAGGCACGCACGCACACACACCGCAGGCACGCACGCACGCACACACACCGCAGGCACGCACGCACGCACACACACCGCAGGCACGCACGCACGCACACACACCGCAGGCACGCAUGCACGCACACACACCGCAGGCACGCACGCACGCACACACACGCACUUACCCACAUGCGGACACACACAACGCGCGCACACACAGACACACACACAGAGCCACACAUCUGUCCUAUACUAGCCAUUAUCAUUCUUUCUGACAUCUAAUUACCAACUAUUGCCAAUAACGGGCCUGCCCCCUCCCUGGUGCCCCCCCUCCUGUCUGGUAUAAUGACGCAUGGAUUGGUAGCAUUUCACAGAGCAGAAGACUACCAAAGGUUGAUUCUGUUCCCCAUUUCAUUCUUCCUCCCCAUAAAGGUUACUCAUAUAGGAAGCUAUAUCUCCACACGUGUACGAGCUGAAGGUCACGUGGUCACAGAGGAGGGGGGGGGGGGGCAUUCUGCAGGUGGACUCUGGUCAGACGGUUUCCUGGAGCCGGUCCUAUGAUCUCCAGGCCCCCCCCCCCCUCAAACACCCUAAACCCUGGCUUCUGUCACAGCUUCUAAAGACAUAAGCAGGAACAACG
ensembl:lncRNA